UAAACCGAAAAUUCCAAUUUGGUGAGUUUGGAAUAAAAUGGGGCUUGGCUGUUAUCUUCGUUUGGGGGUUCUUUGUUGCAGCUCGUAUGUGGCGUGCUGGGGCGAGGAAAGUGAUGGUUGCUGAAGCCUUCCCGGCUAGAGGCAACGGUAUUUGUGAGCCAUUGAAGGGAUUCUUCAAUCAUCCAAAACCUGUCGGCUAUUCCGACCUCCAUGUAGCUUAGGUGAUCCUGUACUCCGUCGAGGACACUCUCCAGAUUUUCCAUACAUUCUUCGUUGGACAAAUUGAAACUAGCUCUGAUACCACUGAUAGGUCCCCGUCAAAGCUAGCAAGAUAAUUUUCUACUUUAGGUGAGGAAAGAACCAAUUUUGGGGAUUAAACUUCGUUGCUACAUUCUUGGCCAAAUGCCUCUUCAAAUACAAAACGUUUGCUUACAAGAUAAGUGUGAAAUCUUAUUUCUAGGAACAUAAAAUCAACAUAAAGAUAAAUGGAUAAGUGGCCAUUUUUGUUGUGAGAGAGCAGCUGCUGCUGCUGCUGUUUGCGAUGUUGGACCGACUUUUUAGCUUGGUGGUUGGGUCAGUGCAGCUUGACCGAGUCUGCAAUUUGAGCACACGCAGCAGACUCUUCUAUGGAUCUGCAAUAUGUUUAUUUACUCGUAAGUACUUCGAGUUCUUUACUAGAACCCGUUGGGAUCUUCGGAUCCCAACAGUAUUUACCUUUGAUUUAUUUAUUCCAGACUUUCUUGCUUAACUUGAUAUCUCCAUUAAUCGUUACCACACAGCCCUUUUCCCAUAUGUUUCUAAUUUAUCAAAUUAAUUACCCAUUUGAAUUUAUUCAUUACCCAAUUAUUUAGGCCUCAUUUACCAAUUAAGAUACCUUUUUUUAUCUAUUUCCAAAUCCAAAUUUUAAAUUAAUUUUUUGAUUUAUUUAUAAGCUUAUAGAUUUCUAACUUUCUUUUAUUUGACACUGAACUUCUAGUUUCAGAAUCCCUUAAUGACCAAACAAUUUAUUUACUCUUCCUUCUCCUUGUUAAUUUCUUUGGUCAAUUUUAAAAUUUCCAAUUUAUAUAUAUACAAAUUGCUUAUCAUCAUCAACAUUUAAAACUUCUACUCGUUAUUAACCUAAAUUCCCUCAUGUUCUUUUAAAACUUUACCAAAUAGUAUUUAAAAUUAAUUGAGUUAGUUUCGAAAAUCUAAUUAUAUUUAGUUGAACAUGUAUAGCAAAAAUCUUCAAAAAUCCGUUCAUUAUAUUUCAGAAAAAAAAAUCCAGAAAGAUUAAAACAACAACAUAUAUAUUUGCAAAAUUCUUGUGGUUCUGCAAUGAUUUAAUAGUGUCAAAAACACCUAGUUUUCCAUUUUUCCAUUUCAUUUUUCCUUGGUUCUUAAUUAAUUAUUCCUUAACCUUCAAAUUUCCUUUAUUUUCAGCAUCAAUCGACCACGUGUUACGCAAUUUUGGCCAACAGAUUUAUCAUGUAUACCAAAAAUGGUUUGCAAGAACAAAAUGUUCCUCUUCGAUACAAUCCAUAAAUUUUCUUGGUGCUUACAGGUGUCCAGGAAGAUCCUAACGUAUGUGCAUAUGCAUUUUGGAAUAUUCAAUGGGUUUUCUAACACUUUUAAAUGCGUAGGAAGCCGUCCACAUGCACGAGAAUCCUUAUCUCAGUGAUUCAGAAUACCUGCAAUUGAUUUCGAAUGUUGUAUCAUUACACACGUGCAUCAUGAUGUUAAUGAAAUUCCACCCAUACUUACAUGUUUACUUAUUAAAUCAUUUUUACCUUAAUACUGG
rnacentral:lncRNA from 1 species